rnacentral:lncRNA from 1 species
UUUUUAGCUGAGGAUUUAUCGGAAACAGCCACUCUGGCCUUCCAGAGUAGGGGUAAGGCUGUACAUCCAAUCCUCCCCAGACCCCGCUUGUGAGAUUAUACUGGAUUGUUAUUGUUGUUAAGCAUUGUUCGAAUGAGUAGGCAGUACCUAGAAAUAUUUUUGUCUAAGAUUUUAGAUUGGACUCAGUAUUUUUCAGAUGGCAAAGCUUUCU